rnacentral:rRNA from 1 species
AACGAACGCUGGCGGCAUGCCUAACACAUGCAAGUCGAACGAAGCCUUCGGGCUUAGUGGCGCACGGGUGCGUAACGCGUGGGAAUCUGCCCUUGGGUUCGGAAUAACAGUUAGAAAUGACUGCUAAUACCGAAUGAUGUCUUCGGACCAAAGAUUUAUCGCCCAAGGAUGAGCCCGCGUCGGAUUAGCUAGUUGGUGAGGUAAAGGCUCACCAAGGCGACGAUCCGUAGCUGGUCUGAGAGGAUGAUCAGCCGCACUGGGACUGAGACACGGCCCAGACUCCUACGGGAGGCAGCAGUGGGGAAUAUUGGACAAUGGGCGAAAGCCUGAUCCAGCAAUGCCGCGUGAGUGAUGAAGGCCCUAGGGUUGUGAAGCUCUUUUACCAGGGAUGAUAAUGACAGUACCUGGAGAAUAAAGCUCCGGCUAACUCCGUGCCAGCAGCCGCGGUAAU